AUAUUAUUUAUGCCUCUAACUGGGAACGUACCUUGAGCAUAUAUGCUGUGACCCGAAAGAUGGUGAACUAUACUUGAUCAGGUUGAAGUCAGGGGAAACCCUGAUGGAAGACCGAAACAGUUCUGACGUGCAAAUCGAUUGUCAGAAUUGAGUAUAGGGGCGAAAGACCAAUCGAACCAUCUAGUAGCUGGUUCCUUCCGAAGUUUCCCUCAGGAUAGCUGGUGCAUUUUAAUAUUAUAUAAAAUAAUCUUAUCUGGUAAAGCGAAUGAUUAGAGGCCUUAGGGUCGAAACGAUCUUAACCUAUUCUCAAACUUUAAAUGGGUAAGAACCUUAACUUUCUUGAUAUGAAGUUUAAGGUUAUGAUAUAAUGUGCCCAGUGGGCCACUUUUGGUAAGCAGAACUGGCGCUGUGGGAUGAACCAAACGUAAUGUUACGGUGCCCAAAUUAACAACUCAUGCAGAUACCAUGAAAGGCGUUGGUUGCUUAAAACAGCAGGACGGUGAUCAUGGAAGUCGAAAUCCGCUAAGGAGUGUGUAACAACUCACCUGCCGAAGCAACUAGCCCUUAAAAUGGAUGGCGCUUAAGUUGUAUACCUAUACAUUACCGCUAAAGUAGAUGAUUUAUAUUACUUUUAUAUAAAAAACGCAAUAUUAUA
rnacentral:ncRNA from 1 species